GACUGGUCCGAAGGUAGUGAGUUAACUCAGUUGGUUGUUCACAGUCAAUUACAGAUUGAACUCCUUGUUCUUCUACUCUUUCCUCCUUCUCGCUACUGCACUUGACUAGUCUUUA
rnacentral:Y_RNA from 1 species